rnacentral:rRNA from 1 species
UUUAACGUCCCAAAAUAUAUGUUAAGUGGAAAAGGAUGUGGGGUUGCACAGACAACUAGGAUGUUAGCUUAGAAGCAGCUAUUCAUUCAAAGAGUGCGUAAUAGCUCACUAGUCGAGUGACCCUGCGCCGAAAAUGUACCGGGGCUAAAACAUAUUACCGAAGCUGUGGAUGACACAAAAGUGUCAUGGUAGGAGAGCGUUCUAUGUGUGAAGAAGGUGUACCGUGAGGAGCGCUGGAACGCAUAGAAGUGAGAAUGCCGGUAUGAGUAGCGCAAGACAGGUGAGAAUCCUGUCCACCGUAAGACUAAGGUUUCCAGGGGAAGGCUCGUCCGCCCUGGGUUAGUCGGGACCUAAGGAGAGACCGAAAGGUGUAUCCGAUGGACAACAGGUUGAUAUUCCUGUACUAGAGUAUAUAGUGAUGGAGGGACGCAGUAGGCUAACUAAACCAGACGAUUGGAAGUGUCUGGUCAAACAGUGAGGUGUGACGAGGAGCGAAGUUUAGUAGCGAAGUUAGUGAUGUCACACUGCCAAGAAAAGCUUCUAG